ensembl:Mt_tRNA
GAGAAAGUCAUAGAGGUUAUGGAGCUGGCUUGAAACUAGUUUUUGGGGGUUCGAUUCCUUCCUUUCUUG